CCUACGGGGUGCAGCAGUGAGGAAUAUUGGUCAAUGGACGCAAGUCUGAACCAGCCAUGCCGCGUGCAGGAAGACGGCUCUAUGAGUUGUAAACUGCUUUUUUACGCGGGUAAACGCAGAUACGCGUAUCUGUCUGAAAGUAUCGUACGAAUAAGGAUCGGCUAACUCCGUUCCAGCCGCCGCGGUAAGACGGAGGAUUCAAGCGUUAUCCGGAUUUAUUGGGUUUAAGGGUUGCGUAGGCGGGCGGAUAAGUUAGAGGUGAAAUCCCGAGGCUCAACUUCGGAAUUGCCUCUGUUACUGGUCGGCUAGAGAGUAGUUGCGGUAGGCGGAAUGUAUGGUGUAGCGGUGAAAUGCUUAGAGAUCAUACAGAACACCGAUUGCGAAGGCAGCUUACCAAGCUACUUCUGACGUUGAGGCACGAAAGCGUGGGGAGCAAACAGGAUUAGAUACCCGUGUAGUC
rnacentral:rRNA from 1 species